rnacentral:rRNA from 1 species
UACGGAGGAUCCAAGCGUUAUCCGGAGUCAUUGGGUUUAAAGGGUCCGUAGGCGGUUUGGUAAGUCAGUGGUGAAAGCCCAUCGCUCAACGGUGGAACGGCCAUUGAUACUGCCAGACUUGAAUUAUUAGGAAGUAACUAGAAUAUGUAGUGUAGCGGUGAAAUGCUUAGAGAUUACAUGGAAUACCAAUUGCGAAGGCAGGUUACUACUAAUGGAUUGACGCUGAUGGACGAAAGCGUGGGUAGCGAACAGG